rnacentral:lncRNA from 1 species
UCGAAAAAAAGACCGCAUUUUGUCCGGUCAAACUAUCCGUCCCAAGUUACAAACGUUCCUCCCUCAGCGGGGCCCACGUCGUACUUUGGGCCUAUAAAGCUUAUUUAUGGGCCUAAAAUUAAUGGGUAAGCCGGUAUGAAGUUCAUAUCAGUUGGCCCAAUUUGGAUUCGGCCCAAUGGGCUAACUAACAAGAAAGACCCCCGCGGAGGUUUAUGUUCACAAAGUGGGCUCAGACUAAUAAUACAAACUGGCCGGUGCGGAUACAAGAAGGGGAGGGGAGGGGAGAGGAGAGGAGAGGAGAUUUUAUAAGGCCCACAAGUCGGCCCAUUUUUAAGCCAUGGAAUAUGGGCCGAUCAUUUGUCGAUCUGGCCCAGCUUUCCGAGCCCAUUACAGUUGGGGCAAACUAUCUGGGCCUGGUCCUUGCGCGCCGCGUUGGCCCGCAGCGUCGCCCCCGACUUCCUGAUGAAUCCGGCCCCGUCGCACUCCGGGCACCUGCGCCACACGGCCCAUUAAUAACAGCCCAUUAUCACAUGAACGAGUCCACAGACCCAUUAUCGGCCCAGAUCCAGUCCUCUCCCCCCCCGAGAUUUGGGGGCGAGCGGAGAGAAGGGGACGGAGGAGAUCUUACAGGUCCUUGCGGGAGAAGAGAAUGGGGAACGCUGUGCCCACAAGCGCCACCGCGAUGGCACCCGCCACCAGAUACGUGGUUCCCUCCGCCGAGACGUCACCCACUGCCGCCACCACGGCCCCCGACCGCGGCUUCUUCCUCCCCUUCAACGG